GCAAUCUUUCACGCGUGAGAUUGCUUUAAGUUAUGCUCAAAACGGGUCCUCCAUACAUGUUCUUGUAUUCUCGAGGUGACCAAGUCUUGAGCCUCUAUAUGUUGGCCUCCAAAGAUGUCAUCAAAAGAUAAGAUGGCCAUUUGUCCCGCGUCAUCCUCCCCUUCUUGAAAAAGAUUCGACCUCAAAUCCAAACCUUGCAAAAUCGAAGAGAGGACAAACAAAUACAAACUCCUCAUGGCAUGAGGGUUAGGGUUAGCAUAACAAAUCAUCUCAAUAUGCUAAGGUUGCACAUAUUUGCAAUAUAACCAAGAAUCCUUUGNN
rnacentral:lncRNA from 1 species